UUUCUAUAAAAUAUAUAACUAUUUUUCUCUUUCUUGUUGCACCUUAUUUUACAUUCCACUGGUAAAUUCAUCAACACUCACUUGAAAUAAAUAAAUCAACCAUUUUUCCUCCUCUGAAUACCAGAAAAUGUAUUUUCCCCAAUGCAUUUCCAAACACAUACUACAGAUAUACUCCCUCCAGUCCCCCUGCUGAGCCUGGUCCCCAUUCUGCAUUUGCAUUACAUCGAGUAGAUCUCAUCUCCGCCUUCACUUUUGUCUGCCACCUCCAUCUAGACACAUAAUGAAAUUGUCUCGCUUGUCUACCUGAUUUAAUGUUGUUUAACAAUGCUCCAGUCAAAGAUGAAUGCUGCGAGAAGGGCGCUUGAGGUGAGAACUAAAAAUGGAAUCCAGUGCAGCCUUCACCAGGUUGACAUAGGCCCUGAUGUGCUGCUUAGACAUCUUUGCUUUGGUUAAAUAUGGCUCCACUGUAGGAGAUGCAAGCACAAUGGUCAAACAUGUCCAUCUAACAUGAUUACUUAAAAAAAACUAAUGAAAAGUAGAGUAGUGUAAUUGAAAAACCUGUGAACGGCCCAUAAGAAUGUAACUGGAAUACGAUUUCGAUCCCUAUAGUCGUCCUAAUCUUUAGUGUGUGUGUUUUAAAAAUCCAUGCUAAAAUAAAAUGAGACAAAAUGUACACAUUUAAUAGCAUUAUAAAGUCUUCUCCACUUGUUUGUGACAGUUUUAUAAGCUGCAACUCUGAUUGCGCGACUACACCCACGCACUUCCCUUUUCAUUCACUCCAGGAAGCCUCUCCACCGUGUUUGUUUGGGUUACUGUAGAACCACGCAGCCACAUGACCCGAGGUCAGAUUCAAUCUCUGACUCUGAUCCACCCAAGUCUUGCCUAAAAUAGAGUCUAAUAGUAUUUGCAUUCUGUCCAGACCCUGCUGUAUGGGUUAGUGGUGCUGGACGCAGUGAACUGUAAACUCCCUUCUGGCCUGGACAUUUGACAGUGCUUAGAAUUUGCAUUGGGAUCCUAUUGUGAUCCAGAUUUGUGCUAUUGCAAAAGGAGGAAGUCAAUAGGAGGGACAUUCACACACGGCAGAGAUCAAUAGACCGAUUAUUCUCGUGGCUGCUUGCUCCACCCACUAACGUCUCAGAUGUUGGAUAAAUUCAGAUUACAGGAAAAAAAAAACUGAAUGCAGCUGUCUUGUCUGAAUUUUUAUGUCGUAAAAUGAUUUUAAAGUUUGCAUACAAGUAUUUGCAUGAAGUUAAGUGGCUUCUUAAUCCCAGUGAUGAACCAUCAAUGAAAGAUGCUCAUGCAAUGGGGCAUUGCUGCUUGAAAUUCACAAUGUCUAAUGAUAUUUUUGUCACUAAAGCGCUGAUUUUGUUUUGUUUUUAACUUGUCCCCUUUCUCUGAAAAAGGAAGGACUGUCUGUUUCCUCCUCUUCCUCUUGCAUCACCCUGUUGGUUCAUAGAUAAGUAUGAUUCAGCUCAGUCUAUUCAAUGCACUGUAUUCUUUCUUUUUUUAUCAUGCCUGGUUUCUGGAUUGACUAGAAGAAGUAUAUCAUAUAGGCAUAAUACCAUUUGGAAGCUUUGGGGUCGACACUCCUGCUCACUCAUUCUUUAAUAAUAUUUUCUGCAUUUUAGACAAUCUCAAGAAUGAUACAAAUUGUUCUGCAGAAGAAAGUAAGUCAUACAGAUUUGGAACAAAAUGAAGACUCGGUGCAGCUGUGGACCUCUUCACCUCAGCCUCGUACUCAAGGUCUGCACCCCUGCAUGACGAACAAUGGAGGUAUUAGAAGGCCCUGUUAAGCUGCAGCCCUCUUCAAACAGGCAGCCAGCAUGGUACCAGAUCCAAGCCCUCAGCAGCUGUGCUAACCCCCAUUCACUUCACUGACACAAAUCCCCGUUCUCCAUCCCAAAGACUGCUUAAUGCAGGGCUCUCUCAAGUGAAAAGAGUGUUUCUUAUGUCUUUAUUAUCUCAGAAAAAGGACACACAGAUUCUUUUUGUGCCAGUACACUUUCAUUUGCCAUAGGCAAGCAAUCUCUCUCUCUCUCUCUCUUUUUUUUUUUUUUUUUUUUUUUUUUUUUUGAAAAGGGUAGAGAAAGGGGGUUUUAUAACAAGCCUGUAGCAGAGUGAGCAGGUCUCACAACCUGAAACUUCUUAUGUUUCACUGCCUCUUUUCCUGGUAUCUGACGCUGGGCUGCCCAGUCUCCAUGGUAAUUAGACUGAAAAUCCUCCAGUACCGGGCCCCUGCAUAAAACUCUCUUUGAUGGUGAACCUGAUUUCCUCAACAUGUAUUUUUUUUUUUUUUUGGCUAAGUUGGCUUAUGCCCACAUCGGUCAUUGGAUUUUGACCUAAUGUACCAACACACUUGUGACACUAUGCCCUGUGCUGGUGCACAGAAACCAAUUGGAUAUGCUCUUAUAAAUCAUCACCCACAUCCUUCUGAGGAUAGUGGAAAAAUAAAAUAGCAGGCAGGCCUGUAGCCCUGGGAGGGAGGAGGCACAACUGGAAUGCAUUCUGCCGAAGAACAGGGGAUAUUAAAUACAUAGCAGCAGCUGGAAGUGUUCAGAUACUCAGAAGAAAUGUUGCAGUGGAUUGGUACAAGCUAUAACAGAUAAUGACUGCAUUACAUUGAUCUUAAUCAAUAUCAUUAUGCAGAAUACCUGAUAUAUAGAUCGCAUGCACUGUAAACCCAGACAAAAAUACACUUUCAGAUAUAGUUUUAAAAAAGUGUUUAUCGAUUUGAUACAUUUCCAACUCAGGUCACUGUUCUCAAAACAGUUAAUACAGUGAUCUGAAUACUUAAUGUAAUUUUCUAAAAAGAUUGUAUGUUUUUUUAAUUAUUAAAAUGAUAAUUUUUUUAAGUAUUUGAAUGUACGGAGGUUUCCGGCUCCUUCUUCCCACACAACAAACUUUGUUAGAUUGUCUUUAAUAAUAAAAUAAACAAACAAAAAAUGAAAGUAAAGUGGCAGCACCUCUCGUACGACUGCCACAGACAAAACACAAAAUAAAAUCCAGGCCUGGUCCUCUUUCGUCUUUCAGAGUCGUUUACUCCUCCUUUUAUCCUUCCGGAGCUCCUCUGUGGGACUCAAGACCGGUGAGAGGUGCAGGUGUCACU